rnacentral:rRNA from 1 species
AGUGAACGCUGGCGGUAGGCCUAACACAUGCAAGUCGAACGGCAGCACAGUAAGAGCUUGCUCUUACGGGUGGCGAGUGGCGGGCGGGUGAGGAAUACAUCGGAAUCUACUUUUUCGUGGGGGAUAACGUAGGGAAACUUACGCUAAUACCGCAUACGACCUACGGGUGAAAGCAGGGGAUCUUCGGACCUUGCGCGAUUGAAUGAGCCGAUGUCGGAUUAGCUAGUUGGCGGGGUAAAGGCCCACCAAGGCGACGAUCCGUAGCUGGUCUGAGAGGAUGAUCAGCCACACUGGAACUGAGACACGGUCCAGACUCCUACGGGAGGCAGCAGUGGGGAAUAUUGGACGAUGGGCGCAAGCCUGAUCCAGCCAUACCGCGUGGGUGAAGAAGGCCUUCGGGUUGUAAAGCCCUUUUGUUGGGAAAGAAAAGCAGCAGGUUAAUACCCGGCUGUUCUGACGGUACCCAAAGAAUAAGCACCGGCUAACUUCGUG